rnacentral:rRNA from 1 species
UCUUCGGAUGCUGACGAGUGGCGAACGGGUGAGUAAUACAUCGGAACGUGCCUAGUAGUGGGGGAUAACUACUCGAAAGAGUAGCUAAUACCGCAUGAGAUCUACGGAUGAGAGCAGGGGACCUUCGGGCCUUGUGCUACUAGAGCGGCUGAUGGCAGAUUAGGUAGUUGGUGGGGUAAAAGCUUACCAAGCCUGCGAUCUGUAGCUGGUCUGAGAGGACGACCAGCCACACUGGGACUGAGACACGGCCCAGACUCCUACGGGAGGCAGCAAUGGGGAAUUUUGGACAAUGGGCGAAAGCCUGAUCCAGCAAUGCCGCGUGCAGGAUGAAGGCCCUCGGGUUGUAAACUGCUUUUGUACGGAACGAAAAGCCUGGGGCUAAUAUCCCCGGGUCAUGACGGUACCGUAAGAAUAAGCACCGGCUAACUACGUGCCAGCAGCCGCGGUAAUACGUAGGGUGCAAGCGUUAAUCGGAAUUACUGGGCGUAAAGCGUGCGCAGGCGGUUUUGUAAGACAGUGGUGAAAUCCCCGGGCUCAACCUGGGAACUGCCAUUGUGACUGCAAGGCUAGAGUGCGGCAGAGGGGGAUGGAAUUCCGCGUGUAGCAGUGAAAUGCGUAGAUAUGCGGAGGAACACCGAUGGCGAAGGCAAUCCCCUGGGCCUGCCUGACGCUCAUG